rnacentral:rRNA from 1 species
AUUGAACGCUGGCGGCAUGCCUUACACAUGCAAGUCGAACGGCAGCACGGGUGCUUGCACCUGGUGGCGAGUGGCGAACGGGUGAGUAAUACAUCGGAACAUGUCCUGUAGUGGGGGAUAGCCCGGCGAAAGCCGGAUUAAUACCGCAUACGAUCUACGGAUGAAAGCGGGGGACCUUCGGGCCUCGCGCUAUCGGGUUGGCCGAUGGCUGAUUAGCUAGUUGGUGGGGUAAAGGCCUACCAAGGUGACGAUCAGUAGCUGGUCUGAGAGGACGACCAGCCACACUGGGACUGAGACACGGCCCAGACUCCUACGGGAGGCAGCAGUGGGGAAUUUUGGACAAUGGGCGAAAGCCUGAUCCAGCAAUGCCGCGUGUGUGAAGAAGGCCUUCGGGUUGUAAAGCACUUUUGUCCGGAAAGAAAUCCUUGGCCCUAAUACGGUCGGGGGAUGACGGUACCGGAAGAAUAAGCACCGGCUAACUACGUG